UACGUUGGUGGCAAGCGUUACUCGGAAUCACUAGGCGUAAAGCGCAGGUAGGAGGUUUGAUAAGUCUGUUGUGAAAGCUCCCGGCUUAACUGGGAGAGGUCAACGGAAACUAUUAGGCUAGAGUGCGGUAGAGGUAGCUGGAAUUCCCGGUGUAGCGGUGAAAUGCGUAGAUAUCGGGAGGAAUACCUAUGGCGAAAGCAGGCUACUGGACCGUCACUGACUCUGAUCCGCGAAAGCUAGGGGAGCAAACAGG
rnacentral:rRNA from 1 species